ACGAACGCUGGCGGCGUGCUUAACACAUGCAAGUCGAACGAGUCCACCCUUUCGGGGGUGAGGCGAGUGGCGGACGGGUGCGUAACACGUGAGCAACCUGUCCCUGUGCGGGGGACAACCCGGGGAAACCCGGGCUAAUACCGCAUGGGCGGAGACCUCGAGUGGGGACUCCGGGAAAGACGGCCUCUUUACAAUGCUGUCGUGCAGGGAGGGGCUCGCGGGCUAUCAGCUAGUUGGUGCGGUAAUGGCGCACCAAGGCAACGACGGCUAGGGGGUCUGAGAGGACGACCCCCCACAUUGGAACUGAGACACGGUCCAGACUCCUACGGGAGGCAGCAGUGGGGAAUUUUGGGCAAUGGCCGAAAGGCUGACCCAGCGACGCCGCGUGCGGGAGGACGCUUUUCGGAGUGUAAACCGCUGUCAGAGGGGAAGAAACCUCCAGGUGGGAAU
rnacentral:rRNA from 1 species